UUUGGCCUACGGGGCGCAGCAGUAGGGAAUCUUCCACAAUGGACGAAAGUCUGAUGGAGCAACGCCGCGUGAGUGAAGAAGGGUUUCGGCUCGUAAAGCUCUGUUGGUAGGGAAGAAAGAUAGAGGUAGUAACUGGCCUUUAUUUGACGGUAAUUAAUUAGAAAGUCACGGCUAACUACGUGCCAGCAGCCGCGGUAAUACGUAGGUGGCAAGCGUUGUCCGGAUUUAUUGGGCGUAAAGCGAGU
rnacentral:rRNA from 1 species